UUGUACCUACGGGGGGCAGCAGUGGGGGAUAUUGGACAAUGGGGGGGAGCCCUGAUCCAGCGACGCCGCGUGAGUGAAGAAGUAUUUCGGUAUGUAAAGCUCUGUCAGCAGGGAAGAAAGCAAUGACGGUACCUGACCAAGAAGCCCCGGCUAACUACGUGCCAGCAGCCGCGGUAAUACGUAGGGGGCAAGCGUUAUCCGGAAUUACUGGGUGUAAAGGGAGCGUAGACGGCUGUGCAAGGCUGGAGUGAAAGGCGGGGGCCAACCCCCGGACUGCUCUGGAAACUGUAUGGCGGGAGUGCAGG
rnacentral:rRNA from 1 species